AUGCCGUCGGUGGAAAUUAUCGACUCGACCUAUGUCAGUGUGCCGGAGACCGCCAGGCCACCGCCGGAGCCGAUCAAGCUCACCGCAUUGGAGGUGCGGUGGGUCGCCUUCCCGGUGCUGCAGAACGUCCUGCUCUACGAGGGCCCGGACAUGCCACCCUUUGACGCCAUUCUCCAGUCCCUCCGGUCCUCCCUCGUCGUGACUCUAGUCAGCUUUGCGCCGCUCGCCGGGAAGCUGGUCUACCUGGAGGAAGCGGGGGACGUCGCCAUCAGCUGCUCCGCCACCGACGUCGUCAAGUUCGUCGUCGCGGAGUCCGACGCCAAUAUCGGCCGGCUCGCCGGUGACGAGGAGCACGACCUGCGCGUGCUCGAGCGGCUCGUGCCGGACGUGGACAUGGGCGAGCUGCCGGCCCCCGUUUUGGCCGUGCAGGCCACGCGCUUCGAGGGCGGCGUGGCAGUCGGGGUUAUGGUGCACCAUGCCGUCGCAGAUGGGCGGUCGCUGUGGACGUUGUGGAGGCUUGGGCGGCAACGUGCCGGGGCGAGACGCCGGCCACGGCACCGUGCUUUGACCGCUCGCUUGUGA
rnacentral:rRNA from 1 species